GCCUGUUCGAGCGUCAUAAUGACCAAAUCACCUAUGGUGGACUUGGAGUUGGCCGUCUGGCCUCUCUUAAAAUUAGUGGCGGUGCUCUUAAGCUCUACGCGUAGUAAUUCUUCUCGCUACAGGGUCCGAUUAGUACCUGCCAACAACCCCAACUUUCUAAGGUUGACCUCGGAUCAGGUGGGGAUACCCGCUGAACUUAA
rnacentral:misc_RNA from 1 species